rnacentral:rRNA from 1 species
UCCACACAGUAAACGAUAUACACUAGAUGUUGGGUCGGGCACAGUCCGAUUCAGUGUCGUAGCUAACGCGUUAAGUGUAUCGCCUGGGGAGUACGAUCGCAAGGUUUAAACUCAAAGGAAUUGACGGGGGCCCGCACAAGCGGUGGAGCAUGUGGUUUAAUUCGAUGCAACGCGAAGAACCUUACCUGGGCUUGACAUCCCAAGAAUCAAUCAGAGAUGAUUGAGUGCCCUUC